rnacentral:lncRNA from 1 species
AUGGCCAGCACGGUAUUGCUCCAUCCGUUUCCUCGGAGCAGAAUGGAGACGUGCGUUCUGGCAGGGGCCUGGAGGAGGAGGGUGUGGUUUCCAGAGGCCGGGGCACACGUCGUCAUGCAGAACCCCUGCCUGCCCUGGGUGGGGGUGACUGCCAGCACCCAUGAAGUCCAGCGGGUACCCGAUGGUCCCUGCACCGAGGGAGAAGCGAAGGCCCCUGGAGGAGAGAUCGUGCCACUGUGGAGCAAACCAAUUAGAGGCAAGUGCCCCAGCUCAGAGUGUUCUUCAUCUCGGGGCACCUCUGAGCCCUUCCAUCUGGGCUGAGCACUGGCAGGCUCCCUGGGCCCUGAAGGACCCCACUCUCCCCAUAGCCACAGCCAGCCCCAGAAACAUCUGAACAGGGCUGGUGUGAGGAGUGCCUGGGUGAGGUGGGAUUUGAAGACACAAGUCUCUAUGUCACCUCCACGGGCAGGGACAGCUCGGGUCACAGCAUGCCUAGGAGGCAUGGGCAGCCUCACAGUUCGUGUGAUCUCAGGAAACACAGUCCACCUCUUACCCUUUCUCCAGGGUCCCCGACUUGGCCAGUAGGACCCAUGGUUCCUGGAGGUCCGGGAAGACCCUAGAAUUUAAAAUAAAGUUGGGGCGGAGUUAAAAGAUGGGGCCGCAGGACAAGGUCCGACUUCUACCUGGCCAACCAAGGCAGAGGUGGGGGUGGGAGAGUGCUGGCUCCCAGGGUAUCUGCAAAAGUGAAGAGCCCCCCUCUUUUCCAUCCAGGAGACAUAAGGGGUGUCACCAACCCCACCCCACCAACAGCACCUUCUGCAAGUCACAGGAUAAAGCCGGAUACUCACCGCGGGGCCUUCUGGACCGGGCGGGCCCUCGAUGAGCAUGCCCUGGGGAGACAGAGAGAGGGCGUCUGAGACCGCGGCCCGUCCCUCCCAACACCCCAGACCCCAGUGGUGUGGACAACCUUCAGCUGCGUGCACAGGGGGCCCUGGCUCAGCUCCUGCUGUCCUGGGGAGUCACAAUCACAGACUGCAAUGGGGGCCUGUGGCAGGGCCUCAGUGGCUGUCCUCCUAACACUGCCAGGCAGAAGAGCAACCUGGGUCAGCGGCCAGCGACAGACACCGGCUCCCUCCAGACCAAUGCCACGAGAAGCACCUGAAGACGCCGAGAUGAAGAAAAGGAGCCGAGACCACCAGGCUCCCCGCGUCGCCCCAAAGGGGAGUGCCAGACAGGCCCGCCAGGUCACAGCCACUCGAGGGAGGAGGUGGAUGUCAGGACAAGGGGACUAGGGUGGAUUUAGGAAGGAUGAGGGAAAAAUAGGUGUCCCAGCCCCAGGCUGAACUUCUGCCCCCAGCCAGGACCACUGUCAGGCCCCGGGGCUGCAGCCUCCAGACCCUGCCUCUCUCCA